rnacentral:rRNA from 1 species
AUUGAACGCUGGCGGCAGGCCUAACACAUGCAAGUCGAGCGAGCGGCGGACGGGUGAGUAAUGUAUGGGGAACUGCCUGAUGGAGGGGGAUAACUACUGGAAAAGGUAGCUAAUACCGCAUACUAUCGGAUGAACCCAGAUGGGAUUAGCUAGUAGGUGGGGUAAAGGCUCACCUAGGCGACGAUCCCUAGCUGGUCUGAGAGGAUGAUCAGCCACACUGGGACUGAGACACGGUCCAGACUCCUACGGGAGGCAGCAGUGGGGAAUAUUGCACAAUGGGCGCAAGCCUGAUGCAGCCAUGCCGCGUGUAUGAAGAAGGCCUUAGGGUUGUAAAGUACUUUCAGCGAGGAGGCGUUACUCGCAGAAGAAGCACCGGCUAACUCCGUGCCAGCAGCCGCGGUAAUAC